AUACGGAGGGUGCGAGCGUUAUUCGGAAUUAUUGGGCUUAAAGGGUGCGUAGGCGGCGCGGUAAGUGAGGUGUGAAAGCCCACGGCUCAACCGUGGAAUUGCGCUUCAUACUGCCGUGCUAGAGGGAGACAGAGGUAAGCGGAACUGAUGGUGGAGCGGUGAAAUGCGUUGAUAUUAUCAGGAACACCGGUGGCGAAAGCGGCUUACUGGGUCUCUUCUGACGCUGAGGCACGAAAGCUAGGGUAGCGAACGGAAUUAGAAACCCCGGUAGUCC
rnacentral:rRNA from 1 species